GACGGAGGAUGCAAGCGUUAUCCGGAAUGAUUGGGCGUAAAAGCGUCUGCAGGUGGCAGUUCAAGUCUGCUGUCAAAGACCGGGGCUUAACUUCGGAAAGGCAGUGGAAACUGAACAGCUAGAGUAUGGUAGGGGCAGAGGGAAUUCCUGGUGUAGCGGUGAAAUGCGUAGAGAUCAGGAAGAACAUCGGUGGCGAAGGCGCUCUGCUGGACCAUAACUGACACUCAGGGACGAAAGCUAGGGGAGCGAAUGGG
rnacentral:rRNA from 1 species